rnacentral:misc_RNA from 1 species
GUUGUCAUCGCAGGCCAUAAUGGCUGAAAUACAUUAAAGAUCACCUGGAUUUAGAUCAAACGAUGGCAUUUUCUGAAUCCCAAAUACCACCGGACGCCCAGCAUUAUUUGGUGUGUGGCACUGAAGACUGUGAGAAGAACUGCCAAUUUUACUGCAAUGACUGUCACCAACCAAUGUGUGAACAAUGCAGAGAUGAACAUCAGAAGAAUAAGAAAACCAAGAGCCAUGAAGUGGUCCAUUAUAAACAACGAAAACGACCGCUUCCUGUAGAAAAAUGCAAAAUCCAUCCCACAAGACACAUAGAACUCCUCUGUGAAGAAUGCCAAAUUCCCAUUUGUUCUAAAUGCACAGCCACAAAAGAACAUCGCGGCCAUGCAUUUACCGACCUAGAAUUUGUCUUUGAUGAAAAGGUGUCCUUAAAAUGUCAUGAAGAAAUUGCCAAGAUUCAAAAUUAUUUUGAUCCAGUUUCUCAAGAUUUGAAAAAGGAAAUUGCUGGAGAUGUCACAGAAAUAAAGAAGAUAAUAGAGGGUGUAAGAACAUCCAUGAAAGCUGAAGCUGAGUCUGUGAAAAAGCUGGUAGACACACUAACAUCAGAUAAUAUAGAACAAGUCAACAAAAUAGAACAGUCAUUAUUAGAAACAUUAAACAGUCAAAACCAACAAAUUGAUGAUUAUAUCAACUAUCUCAAUGAUUUAAUCCAAAUAUAUUAUGGUUACCUAUCUCCUUCAAACAUAGAACAAUUAACACUUGCUCUCCAAUCAGAAAACUUGAUCAUUAGACCCAUACCAGAGACAUCCAAACCAGUCCCACCUGUAUUUACUGUUGGUCAAUACAGCAAGGACGAUGUGGCCAAACUACUGGGUAGAAUAACUGUCCCCAACACUAAACCAGAGAACCGAAAAAUAAAGCCCAUGGAGACUGCCUCUACACAGUUGAAACCUACAGAGAAACAGAGGAAACAAGACAGAGAGAAAUCUGACGUGAAACAAACACUGUCUCUGUCUUCCUCUGUCACCAAGGUCAGGGAGUACACAGUACCAGGUGUUGAUUAUGUAUUUCAUAUAUCACUGGGUAAAUCAGGCAGACUCUGGGUCAGUGAUUAUAAAGGUAACCUUGUCCAAACAGAUCUACAGGGGAAUCAGCUACAGAAGAUACAAACUAGUGGUGGAUCUCAAGGCUACCACACAGUCACACAGGACGGGGAUCUUAUCUAUACAGACAGAGACAACAAAGUCAUCAAUAGGAUAACACCGGAUAAUACAAUCACUGAAUUCAUUAAAACGGGAGACUGGAUACCACUCAGUAUACACUCCUCCCACAUCAACGGGGACAUACUGGUGGGGAUGAGGAAGGGUGGAGAGGCUAAAGUCACCAGGUACAACAAGGCAGGGACAGAGAUACAGAACAUACAGAGAGACAACAAAGGACAGGAACUGUAUGGUCUACCACUCUACAUCACAGAAAACAUCAAUGGUGAUGUCUGUGUAUCAGACUAUCAAACAUGCUGUAGUGGUGGUGGAUAAAUCAGGACAACACAGGUUCUCCUACACAGGUCAGGGGUCAGAGUUUAGACCCUAUGGAAUAUGUACUGAUGUACUCGGUCACAUCCUGGUGUGUGAUACACGUAUAAUCGGUAACAGUGACACAGUUCAUCUCCUGGAUCAGGACGGUCAUUUCUUGUCUUUACUACUCACAUCACAACAAGGGGUAGAUGAUCCCCGUAGUGUGUGUGUGGAUGAUGAGAACAAUCUCUGGGUGGGACAACUUAACACCAACACAGUGACAGUGUACAAGUAUCUACAGUGAUAAUAAUAUAUCCAUACAAUAAUUAGUUACUGUGUGUAUGUUGUGAGACAAUGUAACAACAACACUGUGAUAGUGUACAAGGACUAGUAUACACAGUUAGUGUACAUGGAAGAACAUAUAUUUACCUCAUUUAUGUAACUGUGUGCAUGUUUAUUCUUAAUAUUGAUUAAUUGAUUAUUUUCAUUGCUGAAGAAUUGACAAUUAAAUAUGUA